rnacentral:lncRNA from 1 species
CCUCUUCCCAGGAACCAGAAACCUGUUGGAAGGUGCUGGAAGGCUCCCUGCUUCCUGCCUGGUGCUCAAAGUGCUUGGCGCAGGCAGCACGGGGCCCUCUGUGGGGUGGAGUCAGCCGCACUGCCACCUCAACACCUACAGAACAGCCCCUUGGUCUCCGCACAAGAAGUCGAUUCCCCAGGGCCAGCCCCUGGUGCCCACCUGGGCUUGGGCCCACCGUCGGGCUCAGCUGGUGCCCCAGGCCCCCUGGAGUUCUCCAAGCUCCACCUCUGGAGGGCCUGGCGAUGCUGCCACCCUCGGGGGCCAUGUAACACUUGCACUAGGCAUCGCUCUGUGCUUAACGUGCUAAUAGACUCUCUCACUUCAUCCCAGCGGCCACCUGAUGACCAAUUUAGCAGAAGAGGAGCUGGCAGAGACCGCGUGAGCAGCUGAGCCCCUGAGCGGCAGAGCCGGCGUUCGGUGCCUGCACUAGCCGUCGGGUUCAGAGUUCAUCUGCAGAGAUAAAAAUGAUGAGGAUGCCCGAGAGUGGGAUUGCCCCUGCUUUGGAUGGCCUGCGGUCCAGCGUGCUUCCUUGACCCUCCCCACCAGGUGCCCCAGCACAAGCCCAAGUCCCUCAAGUCCUUGCUAAUGCUCUCCUACUGACAUGCCCUGUGGUUCCCCAUGGUGUGCCGAUCCCUCGAUUCCACCGCAGCUGUGUUCCGGGGCGGAGUCUGUGGAUGGAAGGCUUGGAGGGUGGAUCCCUCUGUUGGGCCUGCUUGCUUGAAUUUCCCUCAUCUGGACUGGUGGAUUCCUCAAGCCUCAUCCUGAUGCUAUGCCCCACCCUCACGACCCUGACCCUCGAAGGAAAAGGUGGAGAGAACCUGAGACUGUAGAAAGGAACGUGGAACACGGAGGACUCAUUGCCAUGCCCAGGAUACCCUCUGCACAGGGAACGUGGAGCUCCGGGAACCAGAGGCUACACCAGUAUCAGCCGCAUCCGUGCACACUUGUCUGCACUUGAGGCCUGGGGCAGCUACUGCGUGUGUGUGUGUUGGAGGGGGACGGAGGAUGUUGGAGAGAGAAAGCCUUCAAUCCCAUCAGGAGCUUCUGUCCGCGUUCACACGGAAGGAUCUGGGGGGCACUGAAGCACAUCCAUAAAUUUUAUUUGAAAAUACUGUGUAUGCAGUAUAAAUGCAGUGGGGAAAAAAGACUGGAAGAAAAUAUUCUGAAACGUUAACAGUGGUUAUGUCUUGCGGUGGGAUCAAGGAUUUUUAUACUUUCAUGUGUUUUCCAAAUUUUUUACACCGAACACGUGUUAGUUACAUAAGUUCAAUUUUAUUUAUUUAUUUUUAAACCAAAUUCUCCAGCCAACUGUGCUCUUCUCCACUUGCAGUAACUUUCCUUUGAGUCAGAUUUCUGGGUGAACCCGAGAAACAAUGACUCCCUCUCGAGCUCACACUAGUUCACACUCAUGUUUUCCCUCCUUCCUCCCUAGACAAUGGAUGCCCGGGCCGCUCUGCGCAGGCGCACCGCUGGGGCUGAGACAACGGCGUCCUGUCCUCAGGGAGCUUACAGCCUUGUAGCAUUCUCUCCCUCCGUCCCUCUCCUCCCUCCGGCCGAGGUCGGGCUCUGAUGGGAUGGGGCUGCCCUCCACCCUGGGCUGUCCAAUUUCCAGGUCCCUCUUUCCUUCCCCACUGACUCCAGCCCUGAACUUGAGGGGAGGGAGGCAGCGGGACCCUGCUGAGCCCUGGGAGUCGGGGCCGUCCCUCCAGUGACCGAGCCUCUCCCUGCCGAAGCUCCCUCCCUGCAGCUUCUUCCCUUCCUG